rnacentral:rRNA from 1 species
AUCAACGCUGGCGGCGUGCCUCAGACAUGCAAGUCGAACGCGAAAGUUUCCUUCGGGAGAUGAGUAGAGUGGCGCACGGGUGAGUAACACGUGAGUAAUUUACCUCGGGUGGGGAAUACUAACCGGAAACGGUUGUUAAUACCGCAUAAUGCAGCGGCAUCAAUGAUGACAGUUGUUAAAGCGGGGGAUUGGAGCAAUCCGACCUCGCGCCUGAAGAGAAGCUCGCGGCAGAUUAGCUAGUUGGUAAGGUAAUGGCUUACCAAGGCGACGAUCUGUAACCGGCCUGAGAGGGCGGUCGGUCACACUGACACUGAAUAACGGGUCAGACUCC